rnacentral:rRNA from 1 species
AACGAACGCUGGCGGCGUGCCUAACACAUGCAAGUCGAACGGAAUAAGGGGCUUGCUCCUUAUUUAGUGGCGCACGGGUGAGUAACGCGUAGAUAAUCUGCCUGAUGAUCUGGGAUAACAUUUCGAAAGAGGUGCUAAUACCGGAUAAGCCCACGACGGCCUGGUCGACGCGGGAAAAGGGGGGGACCAUUUGGCCUUCUGUCAUCAGAUGAGUCUGCGUACCAUUAGCUAGUUGGUGGGGUAAAGGCCUACCAAGGUUACGAUGGUUAGCUGGUCUGAGAGGAUGAUCAGCCAACCUGGAACUGAGACACGGUCCAGACUCCUACGGGAGGCAGCAGGGGGGAAUUUUGCGCAAUGGGCGAAAGCCUGACGUAGCAACGCCGCGUGAGUGAUGAAGGCUUUCGGGUCGUAAAGCUCUGUCAAUGGGAAAGAAGUGUAUUGUAGCUAAUAUCUGCGAUACUUGACGGUACCCAUAAAGGAAGCACCGGCUAACUCCGUGCCAGCCGCCGCCGUAA